UACAACUUGUUUUCAAAUGUAGUGGUA
rnacentral:piRNA from 1 species